rnacentral:rRNA from 1 species
AUACGGAGGGUCCAAGCGUUAUCCGGAUUCAUUGGGUUUAAAGGGUCCGCAGGCGGGAAAAUAAGUCAGUGGUGAAAGCCUACAGCUCAACUGUAGAACUGCCAUUGAUACUGUUUUUCUUGAGUAUAGAUGAAGUGGGCGGAAUAUAUCAUGUAGCGGUGAAAUGCAUAGGUAUGAUAUAGAACACCGAUUGCGAAGGCAGCUCACUAAACUAUUACUGACGCUCAGGGACGAAAGCGUGGGGAGCGAACAGGAUUAGAAACCCCAGUAGUCC